rnacentral:rRNA from 1 species
AUUGAACGCUGGCGGCAUGCCUUACACAUGCAAGUCGAACGGCAGCACGGGGCAACCUGGUGGCGAGUGGCGAACGGGUGAGUAAUGCAUCGGAACGUACCUUUCAGUGGGGGAUAACGUAGCGAAAGUUACGCUAAUACCGCAUAUUCUGUGAGCAGGAAAGCAGGGGAUCGCAAGACCUUGCGCUGAUUGAGCGGCCGAUGUCAGAUUAGCUAGUUGGUGAGGUAAAGGCUCACCAAGUCGACGAUCUGUAGCGGGUCUGAGAGGAUGAUCCGCCAGACUGGAACUGAGACACGGUCCAGACUCCUACGGGAGGCAGCAGUGGGGAAUUUUGGACAAUGGGGGCAACCCUGAUCCAGCCAUGCCGCGUGAGUGAAGAAGGCCUUCGGGUUGUAAAGCUCUUUCGGCCGGGAAGAAAUCGCACGGGCUAAUACCCUGUGUGGACGACGGUACCGGAAUAAGAAGCACCGGCUAACUACGUGCCAGCCGCCGCUGUAAGAC